GGUUAAGUUAGAAAGGGCGCACGGUGGAUGCCUUGGCACUAGGAGCCGAUGAAGGACGGGACGAACACCGAUAUGCUUCGGGGAGCUGUAAGCAAGCUUUGAUCCGGAGAUUUCCGAAUGGGGAAACCCACCACUCGUAAUGGAGUGGUAUCCAUAUCUGAAUACAUAGGAUAUGAGAAGGCAGACCCGGGGAACUGAAACAUCUAAGUACCCGGAGGAAGAGAAAGCAAAUGCGAUUCCCUGAGUAGCGGCGAGCGAAACGGGACCAGCCCAAACCAAGAGGCUUGCCUCUUGGGGUUGUAGGACACUCUGUACGGAGUUACAAAGGAACGAGGUAGAUGAAGAGGUCUGGAAAGGCCCGCCAUAGGAGGUAACAGCCCUGUAGUCAAAACUUCGUUCUCUCCUGAGUGGAUCCUGAGUACGGCGGAACACGUGAAAUUCCGUCGGAAUCCGGGAGGACCAUCUCCCAAGGCUAAAUACUCCCUAGUGACCGAUAGUGAACCAGUACCGUGAGGGAAAGGUGAAAAGCACCCCGGAAGGGGAGUGAAAGAGAUCCUGAAACCGUGUGCCUACAAGUAGUCAGAGCCCGUUAACGGGUGAUGGCGUGCCUUUUGUAGAAUGAACCGGCGAGUUACGAUCCCGUGCAAGGUUAAGCAGAAGAUGCGGAGCCGCAGCGAAAGCGAGUCUGAAUAGGGCGAAUUGAGUACGUGGUCGUAGACCCGAAACCAGGUGAUCUACCCAUGUCCAGGGUGAAGUUCAGGUAACACUGAAUGGAGGCCCGAACCCACGCACGUUGAAAAGUGCGGGGAUGAGGUGUGGGUAGGGGUGAAAUGCCAAUCGAACCUGGAGAUAGCUGGUUCUCUCCGAAAUAGCUUUAGGGCUAGCCUCAAGGUAAGAGUCUCGGAGGUAGAGCACUGAUUGGACUAGGGGCCCCUACCGGGUUACCGAAUUCAGUCAAACUCCGAAUGCCGAUGACUUAUCCUUGGGAGUCAGACUGCGAGUGAUAAGAUCCGUAGUCGAAAGGGAAACAGCCCAGACCGCCAGCUAAGGUCCCAAAGUAUACGUUAAGUGGAAAAGGAUGUGGAGUUGCUUAGACAACCAGGAUGUUGGCUUAGAAGCAGCCACCAUUUAAAGAGUGCGUAAUAGCUCACUGGUCGAGUGACUCUGCGCCGAAAAUGUACCGGGGCUAAACGUAUCACCGAAGCUGCGGACUGUUCUUCGAACAGUGGUAGGAGAGCGUUCUAAGGGCUGUGAAGCAAGACCGGAAGGACUUGUGGAGCGCUUAGAAGUGAGAAUGCCGGUAUGAGUAGCGAAAGAGGGGUGAGAAUCCCCUCCACCGAAUGCCUAAGGUUUCCUGAGGAAGGCUCGUCCGCUCAGGGUUAGUCGGGACCUAAGCCGAGGCCGAAAGGCGUAGGCGAUGGAUAACAGGUUGAUAUUCCUGUACCACCUCCUCACCAUUUGAGCAAUGGGGGGACGCAGGAGGAUAGGGUAAGCGCGGUAUUGGAUAUCCGCGUCCAAGCAGUUAGGCUGGGAAAUAGGCAAAUCCGUUUCCCGUGAAGGCUGAGCUGUGAUGGCGAGCGAAUUAUAGUAGCGAAGUUCCUGAUUCCACACUGCCAAGAAAAGCCUCUAGCGAGGUGAGAGGUGCCCGUACCGCAAACCGACACAGGUAGGCGAGGAGAGAAUCCUAAGGUGAUCGAGAGAACUCUCGUUAAGGAACUCGGCAAAAUGACCCCGUAACUUCGGGAGAAGGGGUGCUCUGUUAGGGUGCAAGCCCGAGAGAGCCGCAGUGAAUAGGCCCAGGCGACUGUUUAGCAAAAACACAGGUCUCUGCGAAGCCGUAAGGCGAAGUAUAGGGGCUGACGCCUGCCCGGUGCUGGAAGGUUAAGAGGAGCGCUUAGCGUAAGCGAAGGUGCGAAUUGAAGCCCCAGUAAACGGCGGCCGUAACUAUAACGGUCCUAAGGUAGCGAAAUUCCUUGUCGGGUAAGUUCCGACCCGCACGAAAGGCGCAACGAUCUGGGCACUGUCUCAACGAGAGACUCGGUGAAAUUAUAGUACCUGUGAAGAUGCAGGUUACCCGCGACAGGACGGAAAGACCCCGUGGAGCUUUACUGCAGCCUGAUAUUGAAUGUUGGUACAGCUUGUACAGGAUAGGUAGGAGCCUUGGAAACCGGAGCGCCAGCUUCGGUGGAGGCAUCGGUGGGAUACUACCCUGGCUGUAUUGACCUUCUAACCCGCCGCCCUUAUCGGGCGGGGAGACAGUGUCAGGUGGGCAGUUUGACUGGGGCGGUCGCCUCCUAAAAGGUAACGGAGGCGCCCAAAGGUUCCCUCAGAAUGGUUGGAAAUCAUUCGCAGAGUGUAAAGGCACAAGGGAGCUUGACUGCGAGACCUACAAGUCGAGCAGGGACGAAAGUCGGGCUUAGUGAUCCGGUGGUUCCGCAUGGAAGGGCCAUCGCUCAACGGAUAAAAGCUACCCCGGGGAUAACAGGCUUAUCUCCCCCAAGAGUCCACAUCGACGGGGAGGUUUGGCACCUCGAUGUCGGCUCAUCGCAUCCUGGGGCUGUAGUCGGUCCCAAGGGUUGGGCUGUUCGCCCAUUAAAGCGGUACGCGAGCUGGGUUCAGAACGUCGUGAGACAGUUCGGUCCCUAUCCGUCGCGGGCGCAGGAAAUUUGAGAGGAGCUGUCCUUAGUACGAGAGGACCGGGAUGGACGCACCGCUGGUGUACCAGUUGUUCUGCCAAGGGCAUCGCUGGGUAGCUAUGUGCGGACGGGAUAAGUGCUGAAAGCAUCUAAGCAUGAAGCCCCCUCAAGAUGAGAUUUCCCAUUCCGCAAGGAAGUAAGAUCCCUGAAAGAUGAUCAGGUUGAUAGGUCUGAGGUGGAAGUGUGGCGACACAUGGAGCUGACAGAUACUAAUCGAUCGAGGACUUAACCAA
rnacentral:rRNA from 2 species